rnacentral:lncRNA from 1 species
AACCUUACUUUCAAAGUUCAAAGAGCAGUACAUUGUGCUCUUUCAGGUAUACAGUUACACAGUGUCCUCCCAAACUUGAACGCUUUUUUGUAUGAGAUGGAAGAAUUUGCAUGCCUUUUUCCUCCUUGGUACCUCUCAGCUUGAAGAAAACAAUGAUUGUUUCACAGAUGAGAACACUCAAGCAAAACAAGAUCGGCACAGCACAUGGUA